UCAAAUGUAUGUUGACGUAUUCUGAAAGGGAUACUUCUUCGGACAAUAUACAAGGUGCUGCAUGGUUGUCGUCAGCUCGUGCCGUGAGGUGUCGGGUUAAGUCCCAUAACGAGCGCAACCCCUAUCAUUAGUUGCCAUCAGGUCAAGCUGGGGACUCUAAUGAAACUGCCUACGCAAGUAGUGAGGAAGGUGGGGAUGACGUCAAAUCAGCACGGCCCUUACGUCCAGGGCUACACACGUGCUACAAUGGCCGGUACAAAGGGCAGCUACCUGGUGACAGGAUGCUAAUCUCAAAAGCCGGUCUCAGUUCGGAUCGGAGUCUGCAACCCGACUCCGUGAAGUUGGAUUCGCUAGUAAUCGCGCAUCAGCCAUGGCGCGGUGAAUACGUUCCCGGGCCUU
rnacentral:rRNA from 1 species